rnacentral:rRNA from 1 species
UACGUAGGGGGCGAGCGUUGUCCGGAUUUAUUGGGCGUAAAGAGCGUGUAGGCGGCCAGGUAGGUCUGCUGUGAAAACUCGAGGCUCAACCUCGAGACGUCGGCGGAAACCAUCUGGCUAGAGUCCGGAAGAGGAGAGUGGAAUUCCUGGUGUAGCGGUGAAAUGCGCAGAUAUCAGGAAGAACACCCGUGGCGAAAGCGCUCUGCUAGGCCGCAACUGACACUGAGGGACGAAAGCUAGGGGAGCGAAUGGG